CUCACUCUCCUGCCCCACCUCGACAUCCACAGCGAGGCAAUGAAGAAGCCCCUGCCAAGGAGGAGCCCGCUUCUCAGUGGGACACCGGGAAGUUUCUCUCCUGUCACAAUGGCAUGAUCUCGGCUCACUGCGACCUCUGCUUCCUGGGUUCAAGGAUUCUCCUGCCUCAGCCUCCCAAGUAGCUGGGAUUACAGGUUACAUUAGUUAUACACUCUGGAGGUGACUUGACCUGUCAUUGUGAACAAUUAUUGCUCUUGGACGACCCAGGACAUAGGCCAGCCAGUACGUACCCCAGUGUGUUGGAGAAUCGCGCUCGGCUUCUUCCUCUGUGCUGAGUCAUGAAAGUUGCCGGAGCAGGUGCAGUUACACAACCUCCAGGUAACAUCACAUGAUCGUUCAAAAAAUAAUCAUCCAAGUCCAGGAUGCAGCAUCUGUCUCAGUUUUUGGCAUAGGAUGACAGUCUGAAAUACACUUACUGAAUUUGAAUAAGAAC
rnacentral:lncRNA from 10 species